ensembl:lncRNA
GGAAAACAAUCCAAAGCUGAGCUGAAAAGGAUGAGUAGAAAUUAGCCAGAUGAACAUAAGAGUUGUUUGCUAAAUUGAUAUAUUAAGGAUUUUGGUGGAGGUGGUACAAAUGGAACGGAGUAUGUACAGUGGCUUCGAAGCAACAGGAGUACUUGGAGCUUUUGCAGAACUGAUUGUGGGAUCUUAGUUCCCUGACCAGGGGUCAAACCUGCAUCCCCUGCUUUGGAAGCAGAGUCCUAACCACUGGACCACCAGAGAAGUCCCUAGCAAAUCUUGAUACAAAGUGAAUAUUCAAGGAAACCUGACAGAGUUCUGAACCGGAUCAAGCAUUUCAUGUUUGCAGGAUUGGUCGAGAGGAACAGUGCAAGGCCACCACACCCUCUGAAAAUGAUAAGACAGAAGCGCUCAUCAUUGUUGAUAAAAGUUACAUAUGUUUCACAUGCACUGAUUUUACAGCCCUUCUGCCAAAACUCCUUUGUUCCUGGAAUAACCGGUACCUGAUUUCUGUACCUGUUUCCUCUAGCUCUAUUCCCCUCCCUUUGGAUCAAAACACUGGUUAGUUAUUUUACUGGUUGAACUCCUAUAUCUUCUCAAACUACUUUCUUUUUUACAACUUUCCUCUCAAUUUUUUAUUUUUGCAUUUAACUCAGUUUUUGAAUGUUUAUAUCUCAAAGUAUUUCCAAGUCUUCAUCUCAACUCAAGUGAACAAAUUUUGAAUUGCUCUGUACUAAUCAUUAUGUCAGCCAGAGCGGAGUAAGGACCUCUCAGCGUAAUCAAGAAGACAGACACAUAAAAAAGAAUAUAAUAAAGCUGAUG